rnacentral:lncRNA from 10 species
UUUAUUAUUAUUAUCUUGAGACAGAGUCUUGCUCUGUCGCCCAGGCUGGAGUGCAAUGGCACCAUCUCAGCUCACUGCAACCUCCACCUCCCAGGCUCAAGCGAUUCUCAGGUCUUGGCUUCCUGAGUAGCUGGGGUUACAGGCACGCACCACCAUGCCCAGCUAAUUUUUGUGCUUCCAGUAGAGAUGGGGUUUCGCCAUGUUGUCCAGGCUGGUCUCCAACUGCUGACCUCAAGUGAUCUGCCCACCUUGGCCUCCCAAAGUCCCGGGAUUACAGGUGAGAGCCACCACGCCAGACCCUACAGCCUUUUUUCUUGUGCCGCCACUAGAGCAGGGAGCCAGAAACAGUCUCUCUCUUAGGCUCCUUCAGUCAUGAGCCUCCAGUGUUCACAGCUCAAGAUCUAGCGUGGUCCCACCAAAGCCUCUCACCUUGGCCUGGAUGUGAGAGAAAAGCACCCAUUCUCGUUCCCCACAGGAGGGGAUAUAAUGCCAUAAUACUGAAUAUUUUUCCAAAGACAUUUCUGCUCCAAGCUUCUUCAAUUCAACAAUUCUAUGAGAUAUGAGUCCUAGGGCAGAAAGGAGACGUCUGGGGGCAGGGUGGAGGUUGCUGUGUCUGAAUGUAAAGAGGGAAAGCUGUGUCUGAAUGUAAAGAUUUGUCAUAUGACAAAUCUUAUGAAGGUGAGUAAUUACAAAAGGAUUUAGUGUCUGCGAUGGAGACACUAAUGGCACUGAAGGAAAAAAAUCUCAGUAUAGUGCUGAAAUCUGUAAAGGAGUGGAGCCAUCAAUGGUCUCAGGCAACUGCUGAUUAAUCUAUGAGCAGGGCUUGUUUAGUAAAUAAAUGACCUAGACCAACAUUAACUUCAGCAGUUCGAGCUCUGAACACACAAAUACAGAUCAAAAAAUAGAAACUGUUAGACACGACAGUGAAAGAAUAACAGUGCCUAGAAGGUGUCAAAGCAUAAUAUAUUGAGUAGAUGACUGAUUUGCACUAUAAGCAAAUGUCAUAACUCAGUAAGUGGAACCAAAUUGGUUUUCUUGAUUCUUAUGUGUGUGUAUCUAUAUAGACAUACAUAUAUUCUCGAUUGGAAAGAGAAGAUGAUUUUUGGUUCUACAAUUCUCACUGCUGACCUGUGGAGAAAGGAUUUUGGAAGAAUUACUGCCCACUGGGUAAUUUCAGGUUUGUAAAAUACCUGGUGAUCAUUUCAGCAGAAAGAUACAAUUCUAAUGUGAAAUUAAUUCUGAGCUUGUAUCACUCCUUGUCCCAAGUUCCUCCCCAUAUGUAAUUAGGCACAUCAGAAAGUGCUAGUUUUAUCUUUCUGACAUGCCAAUUUCUUUGUCAAGUCUUGAUCAAGACUUGUUAACCGCACUUGUCUUUUGACACCCUUCAUAAAAUGGCUUACUAGUACUGAUGAAGCUAUAUUUCCUGAUAUUCCUCAUCUUCCUUCUGUUCUAUUCAGAGAUGCCAUUUUAUCAAUGGUUCUGGGACUAGCGGACUCCACAUGUUGAUGAAAGGAUCAAUUAUUAACCUAACUUGGUGCCAGGCAUGGUUUUCCAUAUAAAGGCAGUAGAGGGGAGAAAGAAAUUUGUACUUGAUUGAAAAGGCUUCAUAUGGACAUUGGACAGUAAUACAAAGAAUGUGCUUGGCUCUGUAUGUUCAGCUUAGAGGUGAAUCUUUAGGACUAGGACUUCUGCCUUAGAGGACAGGCUCCAAAUCUCUGACCAGGAUAUCUAGACAGUAGACAAUUCUUGGAAUUUGGGUGGGUUGUUCUUUCAUACCAGGAAAUCUGACUUCGAGCUAUUGAGGCAAGUAGAGGAUUAUGGGAAAUAAGAUGGCAGAACUCCACCCUUUAUAUGUAAUUUAGGCUAGGACUUUAGUCUUCAAGGGAGUGUAGGCAUCUAAGCAACAUAAUGCACAAAAGCUCAGUUGUACAGCUUUGGCUUGCAUGGCAAUGGGGGUCAGAAUUUACUCUCCACAUAUAACCUGCGUACCCAGAAUGCAUACUAGUAACCAAAAGGCUGGUCUUAUUUGUUAGUGAUAAAAACCCAUACAAGUCACAAGAAAGUUCUACAGCUGUUGCUGGGACCAGGCCCAUCUCUAACAUUUGUGGGUCUGGAGGAAGAAUAUAAAUAUGGAGGCCUAAUUCCAUAUGUCUAAAUAUUUAAGCUAUUGUCAACAUAAACAUCUGUUAAAUAAUAUGAGCCCAAUUGCCAUCCUUCUAUCUUGGCAAAUGUUUAAAAUGUUUUUAAAUGUGCAAAAGAUUAAAUUUUUAUGGCUGAAAGUCAUCAAAAUAUAAAUACUAAAUCUAUUAUUUCAUGUAUCUAGUUGGCUAAUAUAGUGAUACUUUACACAAAGAAGACAUACAUGACUUACUGUACAUUUAUACUGAAACUAUUAAAUUUAUCUUUACUUUCAGUCUCACAAUCAGUCAUUAUGUUGUUAUAAUCAGUAUUUCCACACCACUUUGAAUACUGCUGACAAAAAUGCCAAAUUACACAACUUUUUUGAGUCAUUAAAAUUUCGAUUUGGAGAACAAUUCUGUAAAAACAGAAGCAACUGGAGUUGUCAAUAAAAUUUUAAGACAAUGGCUUUUUAAAGUGAGCUAGAAAUUCAUUGAAAUGAUGUUAAUAUGAAGAAAUAUAAUUGUUGCAAAUUGAUAAAAUUUUUAUCUAUACAUUUUCAUUACUUAUGUCACAAUUUUUAUCUUUUAUUUAAAUCCAUACAGUAUUUACCUUAUUCUCUUUUGGAAUUUCAAUGCUAGAAUAUUAGAAAGAAACCUAUGAAUACUGAUAUAUUAUCAUUUUUUCCAAAUCUCUCUUCAGUUGAUGCCAAACCUUGACUUCACCUGGAAAAUACGCUCUCUUUAGAGAUUAGUUUAAGUAGUAUUUGUAUGUCAAUCUGUAAUGGACAUGCAGAGUCUUAUUAUCUUGUUUUAAUUGGGAUAUCAUAUUUAUUGGGUAUAUCUCAAGGAAUUUCUUUCAAUUAAACACAUAUUUUCUCCAAAAUUUGAAAAAUGUAUCUAUUUUUAAGGUAUUUUAAAAUGUAAGGGGAACUUUCAUUUUUCAGAUGAUGAAGUAGACGUGCUUUUUCCUCACUCUUCCCUGAGAACACCUGAAAAUGCUGGACAUUAUAUAUAAAACAAAUGUAAUAAGAUUCUGAAAGGUUAAUAAAAGAUGACAGAAUUACUAAAGACCUUGAGUCCCCCAAAAUGAUAUAAUAGUAAGUUGCCUGAAUUUUCCUUUUGCCUCAUAUAUCCCAGUCUGAGUGCUGAAGAAGCCAGCAACCAGGAACAUCAUCAGGCACAGACAAAAAAAAAAAAAAAAAAAAGGAAAAAAAGGCCUAAAUAAAACCCUGUUCCCUCUAGCUGAAGAAUCAUGAAAAGGGUAGCCUAGCAAGACAGGAAAGUUAAAGGAUAUAACUGUUCCACUGCGGCUGGCCAAACAUCACAGAAAAAAAACUGUGGCCCAAAUGCCAACCCCACCAGAAAAGACUGAGUGAAGGAGUGAGGGGUCUCAACUUCUCCCCUCAUGAGGCUGUGAUUAGGUUCCCCAAACCCUUGACUAAAGUCGUAUCAAAAAAGUCAAGUGGGAAGCCAGGACUUUCACCCCCACGGGGCAAUAAUAAGCCCCUUACCCUGACGUGAUCCUGGGAGCCAAGUCAUGAGUUUUGACUUCCACAUCUACCUGGAAGUAACGAUGCGACCCUCUCCCUGUGCAGGGGCGGUGUUAAGAGAGGCCUAGUGGAGGGUCAGGCUCAGCAGCGAUGAAGCCGCCCACACUGUGGUGCUGGUGGAGGCCACGUGGGCAGCGGUAAUGGUCCUGCCCACUCUUCCCAGCUGGGAGGCUUCCACGCCAGCAGUGGAGGACUGUGACUUUUCCACUGGCCCAGAAGGAUUGAGGAUCCUCCUCCUUGGGUGUUAAGGGUGGCUGAGUAGAGAAUAUGGAUUUUUACCCCCAUGGCAGUAAAAAGGUCUUCCUUUUUCCCACCACAGUAGUAUCCAAAGCAGCCAGUUAAACUGAUUUAAGUAAGAUACAGAGUCUCAUAACAUAAUACCUAAAAUGUCUUGGUUUCAACUGAAAAUCACUCAUAACAAAGACCAGGGAGAUCUCAAACUUCACUAAAAAUAAUAAAUUCUGACAUGGAGAUGACAGAGAUUUUGGAAUUAUUUGACAAAGAUUUGAAAGCAGCCAUGAUUUUAAAAAAUGUUUUAACAAGCAAUUAACAGCAUGCUUUAGAAAAGCGGGCCGGGCGCGGUGGCUCACGCCUGUAAUCCCAGCACUUUGGGAGGCCGAGGCGGGCGGAUCACGAGGUCAGGAGAUGGAGACCACGGUGAAACCCCGUCUCUAGUAAAAAUACAAAAAAUUAGCCGGGCGUGGUGGCGGGCGCCUGCAGUCCCAGCUGCUUGGAGAGGCUGAGGCAGGAGAAUGGCGUGAACCCGGGAGGCGGAGCUUGCAGUGAGCCGAGAUCGCGCCACUGCACUCCAGCCUGGGUGACAGAGCGAGACUCCCUCUCCAAAAAAAAAAAAGAAAGAAAAGCGACAAAAUACAAAAAUCCCAGCAAAUAAAUAGAAAAUAUAAAGAAUAACCAGGUGCAAAUUUUAAAAGUAAAAAUUCAGUAACUGAAAUAAAAAUUCCAAUGGAUGUCUCAACAGAGGAAUAAAGAAAGCAUAUGAAAAAAAUCAGUGAACAAAAAGAUACAACAGUGGAAAUUACCUAAUUUGAGAGCAACACAGUGAAAAGAGACUGAAGGGAGAAAAGAAAAAAACAAACAAACAAAAAACAAAAACAGAACUUCAGGGACCUGUGGGACUGUCACAAAACAUCUAAAAUCUGUGUUAUUGAAACCCCAGAAAGAAGAAGAGUGAGUUUGAAAAGUGUUCAAAGAACACCUUCUCAUAUUUGCCAAGGCAUAAAUGUACAGACUCAAAAUGGUGAAAGAAUCUCAAAUUAGAGAAACCCCCGAAAAUUAAUACCAAGAUAUAUUACAGUCAAACUUUUGAAAACUUAAGAGGAAACAAAGCAGAAUCUUUAAAUCAGUGAGAUAAAAAUAGCACCUUAUCUACUAGAAAAAAAAGAAAAACCCAAAUGACUGGAGUUUUCCUUAGAAAACAUGACAAGAGAAAGUGGCACAAUAUUUUUAAAGUGCUGAAAGAAACAAAACAAAACAAAACAAUUUAUCAACCAGAAUCCUAUAUCCAGUAACAGUAUUUUUCAGGAAGGAGGGAAAAUCAUGACAUUCUGAGAUAAGGGAAAAUUAAGGUAACUGGUUGCCGGCAGAAUUACUCUAAAAGCA